rnacentral:rRNA from 1 species
UACGAAGGGGGCUAGCGUUGCUCGGAAUCACUGGGCGUAAAGGGCGCGUAGGCGGCGUUUUAAGUUGGGGGUGAAAGCCUGUGGCUCAACCACAGAAUUGCCUUCGAUACUGGGACGCUUGAGCGUGGUAGAGGUUGGUGGAACUGCGAGUGUAGAGGUGAAAUUCGUAGAUAUUCGCAAGAACACCGGUGGCGAAGGCGGCCAACUGGACCAUCACUGACGCUGAGGCGCGAAAGCGUGGGGAGCAAACAGG